GGGUCAGUAGGUUGGUCGUGCCACCGGUACGUACUGGUCUCACUGAUUCCUCCUUCCUGAAGAACCGUAAUGCCAUUAAUUUGGUGUUGCGGGGAAACAGGACUGUUACUUUGAAAAAAUUAGAGUGUUUAAAGCAAGCGAACGCUUGAAUACAUUAGCAUGGAAUAAUGAAAUAGGACGAUCGAUCCUAUUUUGUUGGUUUCCAGGAUUGACGUA
rnacentral:rRNA from 1 species